rnacentral:rRNA from 1 species
CGUGUAGGCGGUUUGUUUAGUCUGAUGUGAAAGCCCUGGGCUCAACCCAGGAAGUGCAUUGGAUACUGGCAGACUUGAAUACGGGAGAGGGUAGUGGAAUUCCUAGUGUAGGAGUGAAAUCCGUAGAUAUUAGGAGGAACACCGGUGGCGAAGGCGGCUACCUGGACCGAUAUUGACGCUGAGACGCGAAAGCGUGGGUAGCAAACAGGAUUAGAUACCCUGGUAGUCCACGCCGUAAACGAUGAGAACUAGGUGUUGCGGGUAUUGACCCCUGCAGUGCCGCAGCUAACGCAUUAAGUUCUCCGCCUGGGAAGUACGGUCGCAAGACUAAA